UACGGAGGGUGCAAGCGUUGCUCGGAAUUAUUGGGCGUAAAGGGUAGGUAGGUGGUCUCGUUUGUCAGGGGUGAAAGCCUUGGGCUUAACUCAAGAAGUGCCCCUGAAACGGCGAGACUCGAGUGCUGGAGAGGGUCGUGGAAUUCCCGGUGUAGCGGUGAAAUGCGUAGAGAUCGGGAGGAACACCAGAGGCGAAGGCGGCGACCUGGACAGCCACUGACACUCAACUACGAAAGCGUGGGGAGCAAACAGG
rnacentral:rRNA from 1 species